rnacentral:rRNA from 1 species
UACAGAGGUGGCAAGCGUUGUUCGGAAUUACUGGGCGUAAAGGGUGCGUAGGUGGGCAAGUAAGUCAGUGGUGAAAUCUCCGGGCUUAACCCGGAAACUGCCAUUGAUACUAUUUGUCUUGAAUACUGUGGAGGUCAGCGGAAUAUGUCAUGUAGCGGUGAAAUGCUUAGAUAUGACAUAGAACACCAAUUGCGAAGGCAGCUGGCUACACAAAUAUUGACACUGAGGCACGAAAGCGUGGGGAUCAAACAGG